UCCCUGGAGGACUAGUGGUUAGGCCUCUGCGCUCUCACCGCCAUGGCCUAGGUUUGACUCCCAGCCAGGGAA
rnacentral:tRNA from 1 species